CCUUCUCCUUCGUCUGGUUCGGCUCAAGAACCAAGGAAAUCAACUCCUUCCUCCAUCUCCUUCCUUCUCCUUCAUCUGAUUCAAAGCACAUAAACCAAAAUUUUUGCAACACCAAAAACCUCAGCUUUGUCAGUAAUAAUGGAAUUAGGGGCAAAUUUUUCUUCAAAAGCUAAACUAACCAUCCACCAUUAGAUUCUGACCGAAAAUAUCCCAUAUAAAUACUGAGCUUUAUUCAUCAAAUUUCUCAAGCAAACAACUCAAAAGACUCCAAUUUCGUAAACGAGGAAUACCAGGAGUGUUAAUAUGUUCGUGAAUUUAACUUUGGGCACGCAUCACGAGGGAUACAAAUUUAGAAGCUCUGUCUUGCAAAUUUUGGAACUACUGGAGGUUGGUCUAGGGAUGCCGAUCUCGAUAACCAAUCAUGUAUUAUCAACCUAAAGACGUUCCACCAAAGGAACUCUGAUGAGAGACAUCAAACAAGAGAUCGGAGCUGAUGAUAAGCAAUGGCAAUAUGUCUAGGGUUUUUUAUACUGGUAUUGUUUUUCUAGUGACUCCAUAGGAUGAUUGUAUGUAUUAAAAGUUUCAUUAUCCAUGAAAUCACCCCUCCCCUAUUCUUCUCAAAAAAACUAAAAAAGAGAAUGAGGCAAUGAGCUGGGUAAUGGUCAAUCACCUACUUUGGAUUACUGCAUGGACAGAAAAGGGAAAGGGCCAAGGAAGACGGCAUGUAUAAAAAACAAUCUCAGUACAGCAGCUGUUACAAAGAUUAGCAACCAGCAGAAGCAGGGGCGGAUCUAGGGGGUGGCCUACCCAGGCCUCGGCCCACCCCAUGAUCCAAAAUAUUUAUAAGUAACCUAUCUGAGAUAGUAAUGCAAAUAGGUAUGAUGGAGUAGGUGGUUGGAGCGCACCUAUACUAGGCAUCAAGUCACGAGUUCGAUUCUAAGGACAUUUAUUUUUGGUUUUUUUCAAAAAAAUUAAUCAAUAAGUUCGGCCAAUCCUAUAUAAAAAUCCUAGAUCCGCCACUGAGCAGAAGCCCAGGGUGGUGAAGACUCAGUUUCAAUUGGAGACUAGCAAGAUAAUCAUCUUCUCACACGAUUAUCAUUGUUUAGUAAUGAACGACACUGCCAUUCAUAUGAGUCCCCUAAGUUACAUCUACCAAGUGCCUGGCAACCAUCGUACAGUUGAUAUGCUAAUAAAGUUGCAACAUGAGUAGGUGAAUUUAGCAAUUCUCUGGAAGACAGGUAACAGCUUUAACUGUAUAAAUUUUAUCUGGGUCUAUCCAACACAUUGACUGCAUUACAGAUAGGUCUCCCAUGGUUUCGAGGGGCACAUAACUGGCAUCUAUGUCUGGAAGACUAGAAAAAAAAUUGAUAACCUGGCAAUUCAUAAGGUUGGGGUCCUGACAGAACUAUUAUAUAAUUCCUCGGGUGUGUAUUAAUGAGUAAAAACCCAAUCCUCCUUCACAAGGAGUAGGAACCUACAUUACAUUGGCCAAUGGGGC